rnacentral:rRNA from 1 species
UACAGAGGUCUCAAGCGUUGUUCGGAUUCAUUGGGCGUAAAGGGUGCGUAGGCGGCGCGGUAAGUCGGGUGUGAAAUCUCGGAGCUUAACUCCGAAACUGCAUUCGAUACUGCCGUGCUUGAGGACUGGAGAGGAGACUGGAAUUUACGGUGUAGCGGUGAAAUGCGCAGAUAUCAGGAGGAACACCGGUGGCGAAGGCGGGUCUCUGGGCCGAUACUGACGCUGAGGAGCGAAAGCGUGGGGAGCGAACAGG